AAAAAAAAAAAAAGGUUUAUCUCCUGCCUGCCUGGGAGAGAGGAAGAAGGAAGAGGAAAUGGGGAAGAAGGAACAGGAAGGGGGCUUGUUAAUGGAUUCACCCCUGCGUGGUCUUUGCCCCCACCUGGGAGACCCCAGUGAGCUCUGAUCUCAGAGACAGUGUAGGGAAGAACGGAGGCCAGAGGGUGGAGCCCAGUGUUCUUGUGAGGACGAGUGAAUUGGCACAAGUAAGGCACUUAGAAUGGUACCUGUUUAAUCAAGGUCAGCUCUUUCUUUCUCAGAGAUUUUGGCUUCCCCUCUCCACCACUUCCCUCCCGUUCCUCAAGACAAUGAGCAAUUAUCUAUUGGCCUCAAGGAACUUCUAGCUUAUUUUCCGCCUGUUCCCAUCUUCUAUGUUGUAAUGUGACUUUUGGAUGUGUGGAGCUAUGCUGGGAGUUAUAUAUCCUGAAGUUUCGAUGUGCAGUUUUUUCUGGGGUGGAUCACAUGGCCUUUGGUAUCAUAACUGGGCUUCCUUGGUGGGGUUUUAUUCUUCAGCAGACUUUUCUGGCAUCAUCCCUUCCCCCCUCUUCACUAAGUGCUUCCUGACUAUUCGCUUGAACAGCCAAGAAGAAGGAUAAAUACUUCAAGCUGAUUACGAUGUACUUUGAUUUGUGGUCAUCUCUCUUCUUGAGGGGGCGCACCUGUGGCAUAUGGAGUUUCCCAGGCAAGGGGGUGAAUCAGAGAUACAGCUGCCAGCCACAGCCACAGCCAGGCGGGAUCCGAGCUGCUUCUUCGACCUACACCACAGUUCACGGCAACACCAGAUACUUAACCCAUUGAGCUAAGGCCAGGGAUUGAACCCAAAACCUCAUGGUUCCCAGUCGGAUUCGUUUCUGCUGCGCCACGACGGUAACUCCCUGUGAUCAUCUCUUUUCAAGUGUUUUCAGGAUGCAUUCUUUUAUCCUUACUAAGCUAUAGAGAUCUGGUAGGCAAUGCCAUUAGACAAGCAGGCUGUUCUNGCUAAUCUAAUAUUUGAACUUAACCUAUAGAUGUGAAGAGCAGACAGCUAAGGUUUCUCUUUUUAAGAAUUGACUAACCAAGGCCUGGCUGAGUCACCUGCUUGACUAACCUUUGAGACAGAGAAGCCAGACCUCUAAGUAGCAAUUGAACACCAUGCCACAUCC
rnacentral:lncRNA from 1 species